rnacentral:tRNA from 1 species
GCCGAAGUAGCUCAGUUGGUAGAGCAACGCACUCGUAACGCGUAGGUCGUGGGUUCAAAUCCCACCUUCGGCUCCA